rnacentral:rRNA from 1 species
UACGUUAGGGUCCGAGCGUUGUCCGGAAUUAUUGGGCGUAAAGAGCUCGUAGGCGGUUGUCGCGUCUGCCGUGAAAGUCCGGGGCUCAACUCCGGAUCUGCGGUGGGUACGGGCAGACUAGAGUGAUGUAGGGGAGACUGGAAUUCCUGGUGUAGCGGUGAAAUGCGCAGAUAUCAGGAGGAACACCGAUGGCGAAGGCAGGUCUCUGGGCAUUAACUGACGCUGAGGAGCGAAAGCAUGGGGAGCGAACAGG